rnacentral:rRNA from 1 species
UUUUAUUUGAGAGUUUGAUCCUGGCUCAGGAUGAACGCUGGCGGCGUGCCUAACACAUGCAAGUUGAGCGAUUUACUUCGGUAAAGAGCGGCGGACGGGUGAGUAACGCGUGGGUAACCUACCCUGUACACACGGAUAACAUACCGAAAGGUAUGCUAAUACGGGAUAAUAUAUUUGAGAGGCAUCUCUUGAAUAUCAAAGGUGAGCCAGUACAGGAUGGACCCGCGUCUGAUUAGCUAGUUGGUAAGGUAACGGCUUACCAAGGCGACGAUCAGUAGCCGACCUGAGAGGGUGAUCGGCCACAUUGGAACUGAGACACGGUCCAAACUCCUACGGGAGGCAGCAGUGGGGAAUAUUGCACAAUGGGCGAAAGCCUGAUGCAGCAACGCCGCGUGAGUGAUGAAGGCCUUCGGGUCGUAAAACUCUGUCCUCAAGGAAGAUAAUGACGGUACUUGAGGAGGAAGCCCCGGCUAACUACGUGCCAGCAGCCGCGGUAAUACGUAGGGGGCUAGCGUUAUCCGGAUUUACUGGGCGUAAAGGGUGCGUAGGCGGUCUUUCAAGUCAGGAGUGAAAGGCUACG